GACGAACGCUGGCGGCGUGCUUAACACAUGCAAGUCGAACGGUAAGGCCCUUCGGGUACACGAGUGGCGAACGGGUGAGUAACACGUGGGUGAUCUGCCCUGCACUUCGGGAUAAGCCUGGGAAACUGGGUCUAAUACCGGGUAGGACCACUGCCUGCAUGGGUGGGGGUGGAGAGCUUUUGCGGUGUGGGAUGGGGCCGCGGCCUAUCAGUGUGUUGGUGGGGUGAUGGCCUACCAAGGCGAGGACGGGUAGCCGGCCUGAGAGGGUGACCGGCCACACUGGGACUGAGAUACGGCCCAGACUCCUACGGGAGGCAGCAGUGGGGAAUAUUGCACAAUGGGCGCAAGCCUGAUGCAGCGACGCCGCGUGAGGGAUGACGGCCUUCGGGUUGUAAACCUCUUUCAGCACCGACGAAGCGCAAGUGACGGUAGGUGCAGAAGAAGGACCGGCCAACUACGUGCCAGCCGCCGCCUAA
rnacentral:rRNA from 1 species